GGUGAGCCUGAGGCGCGCCUUUAAGAACUAUGGAGCUGGCUAAGAUCAGUGCUUUACUAUUUGUAUUUCUUCCAUGAGGGUUUCCUUUCUUUUAAUAUUCAUUUUUUGCUCAUUCGAUAUCCACAGUUAAUAAACUUUUUUUUUUCCUCCCGAAAAAGUUUAUUUUGGUUUUUGGAGUCAUCUGGUAUUAUUUGGUGUUUUGUUAUAAGAUAUGAUUUGUGGGACUUUUUUUUAUGGGUUGUUGUUGCUGCAAAUGGAUGGAAAGUUGAUCUGAUAAAAUUAUCAUCUGGCAAUUUUAUAUUUUUCCACAUAAAAACCUGUUUUCUUUAGCAUUUUUCUGUUUUUGUAUGAUACUGUUAGCAUUAAGGAUUAUAGAUCUGAAAAGAAAAAUA
rnacentral:misc_RNA from 1 species